AUUUCAUUACGUAAACAAGGAACUUUUUUAGGGUCGACCUGGACCUUCAGGACCUAUUGGAUUUCCAGGAAAAGACGGAUUUAAGGGCGAGGCAGGACAACACGGAGUUCAGGGCAAAACAGGCUUCCGAGGCAAUCCCGGCUUACCUGGUAACCCUGGGGUGCGAGGAGGCAUUGGACCGAGUGGUACAGACGGAAAACCUGGUCAGACUGGUGAUCGUGGACCAAGGGGAGCAAUGGGAGGAACAGUGAGUGUGUAUAACAUGUUACUCACAAAGUUUCUCUUUACCUCGGCAGACUCAUUCC